rnacentral:rRNA from 1 species
UAAUAAAGUUAUUGUAGUAAAACUAUUUUAAAUAAUUAUUUUGUAAUGAAAUGUUAUUCGUUUUUAAAUAUAUCUAGUUUUUUUAGAAAAAAAUUUAAUUUUAAAUUUAGUAUUUAAUAAAUUUAAUUAUAAUUUAAUUUUAUUAAUAUUAAAUUUUAUAUUUUAAGGGAUAAGCUUUAAAUUAAAUUUUUAUAAUAAAUUUAUAAUUUUUGAAAAUUUUAUGAUUUAUAUUGUUAAUAAAUUUUAUUUUAUUAUAAAUAAUUUCAUUAAAAAUAAAAUUUAAUUUUAUUUAAUUUUAUAUAAAAAAAUAAUUUUUAUUGGUAAAAAAUUAGUAAUAAUGAUAAAAUUAGUAUAUUAAAAAUUAAUUUAAUUUAUUUUUUUUUUAUAAUUAAUUAAUUAAUAAAAAGUAAUUCGGCAAAUAUUUAUAUUCACUUGUUUAACAAAAACAUGUCUUUUUGAAUUUAAUUUAAAGUCUAAUCUGCCCACUGAUAAAUUAUUAAAGGGCUGCAGUAUUUUGACUGUACAAAGGUAGCAUAAUCAUUAGUCUCUUAAUUGGUGACUUGUAUGAAAGAUUGAAUGAAAUAUAUACUGUCUCUAUAUUAAUUUAUAGAAUUUAAUUUUUUAUUUAAAAAGUUAAAAUAAUUUAAAAAGACGAGAAGACCCUAUAGAGUUUUAUAAUUAGAUUUAAUAAUUAAUUAUUUAUAUUAAUUUAAUAAAUUUUUUUUUAAAAAAAUUAUUUUGUUGGGGUGAUAGAAAAAUUUAAUAAACUUUUUUUAAAAAAUAAACAUGAAUAAAUGGUUAAUUGAUCCAAUAUUAUUGAUUAUAAGAUUAAAUUACCUUAGGGAUAACAGCGUAAUUUUUUUUUUUAGUUCAAAUAAGAAAAAAAGUUUGCGACCUCGAUGUUGGAUUAAGAUAAAAUUUAAAUGC